AUACGUAGGGUGCAAGCGUUAAUCGGAAUUACUGGGCGUAAAGCGUGCGCAGGCGGUUUUUUAAGCCAGUGGUGAAAUCCCCGGGCUCACACUGGGAAUUGCCAUUGUGACUGCAAGGCUGGAGUGCGGGAGAGGGGGAUGGAAUUCCGCGUGUAGCAGGGAAAUGCGUAGAUAUGCGGAGGAACACCGACGGCGAAGGCAAUCCCCUGGGCCUGCACUGACGCUCAUGCACGAAAGCGUGGGGAGCAAACAGGAUUAGAUACCCUGGUAGUCCACGCCCUAAACGAUGUCAACUGGUUGUUGGGGAUUUAUUUUCUCAGUAACGAAGCUAACGCGUGAAGUUGACCGCCUGGGGAGUACGGCCGCAAGGUUAAAACUCAAAUGAAUUGGCGGGG
rnacentral:rRNA from 1 species